rnacentral:snRNA from 2 species
GUGCUCGCUUCAGCAGCACAUAUACUAAAAUUGGAACGAUACAGAGAAAAUUAGCAUGGCCCCUGCGCAAGGAUGACACGCAAAUUUGUGAAGCGUUCCAUAUUUUU